rnacentral:rRNA from 1 species
CCUACGGGAGGCAGCAGUGAGGAAUAUUGGUCAAUGGACGCGAGUCUGAACCAGCCAAGUAGCGUGAAGGAUGACUGCCCUAUGGGUUGUAAACUUCUUUUAUAUGGGAAUAAAAUGUUGCACGUGUGGGAUUUUGUAUGUACCAUAUGAAUAAGGAUCGGCUAACUCCGUGCCAGCAGCCGCGGUAAUACGGAGGAUCCGAGCGUUAUCCGGAUUUAUUGGGUUUAAAGGGAGCGUAGGUGGAUUGUUAAGUCAGUUGUGAAAGUUUGCGGCUUAACCGUAAAAUUGCAGUUGAAACUGGCAGUCUUGAGUACAGUAGAGGUAGGCGGAAUGUGUGGUGUAGCGGUGAAAUGCUUAGAUAUCACGAAGAACUCCGAUUGCGAAGGCAGUUCACUGGACUGUAACUGACACUGAGGCUCGAAAGUGUGGGUAUCAAACAGGAUUAGAUACCCCUGUAGUC